rnacentral:lncRNA from 1 species
CGCCGCGACCUCCCAAUACGGAUCUCGAUCCACUUCUUGCACCACCGCACUCUCAAAUCUAGCAUAUCUGGUGGAGGGAGGAUCGAUGGAAACUGAGCUGCCGGGGGAAUCUUGGAAGGUUCUCCCGGACCAUUUCGGGUAUUCUUCUCGUCCACCAUCGUCUCAUCAAAUCAUCCAUCCAUUGUUGUCGCUGCUGCUGCUGUUUUAGUUAAGGUUUCCUUUUCCUCCCCUGUUGCUGUGAUGUUCGUUGCUACUUCCUGUUACGGCCUUGUAAUAGUAGCAAAAGCUGUGUGCACAAAAAGGAUUUUGUACCGCAAGAUUGGUCGAAUAUAGACACGAUAUCCAUUCCGCCAUUGCCUCCCACCGCUGCAAAGGAAAUUUCAUCUGUACAUGUAGCAAACAAGCAGUGCCAUCACAUGAUGAUAUGGCUCCCAUCUUGCCAGGGACAUCUUCCAUUUAUUUUAUCUGUGUUUGCUUAUUAUACUAGUUGCAAGUCGCCGUGGCUCGAUGGAAUUAUUGGAUUGGAUUCUAAAAAUGCUGGUUGGAUAGAGGGGAAUCUCGAAAUAGGAAUCGAAGCAACUUUGUUUUGUUUCUUUCAGCGUUGUAAAGUAAUGAGGGAAAGGUGUUUCCUGAACCUCCUCCUCCUUUUCUGUAUCCUGUUCUUGUUUGCCUUUUCUUCACUCAGCUAAAGAUGGUUUUUGUUUUGGCAACUGGCAUGCGCAUCAGGAUUUCAAUUCAUGUUUACUUUUGUUCCACUUGAUGAAAAUGGACGUCUGCAAUGAAUUUCCUUUGUGAUUAGUUUAGUCAGAGUGAGGGUAAACCUUUCUGAUUAGUUUAAUCAGCCAGGAUAAACCUUAGCAAUCAGUUCAAUCAGGGUGAGGAAAAACCUCAGUGAUUUUAGUAUGAAAACACCUCACAAUCUUCAGUACAGAAAUGCAAGAAGUAUAUGCAGUGAAGAUACAAGCCCACAGCUCAAAACCCAAACCCAAAAGAUACAAGCCCACUUGUGAGCAAAUCACUCGUGUAUUUUGUACUUCUGCUCGGUGCAGUAGUAGUAGCUCAAACAGGCAGUUGCUCUACUGAUCCAGGAGCUUGAGCAGCACUUGGGGCUGCAGCGUCAGGAACUCGGGAAAGGUGUUCCUGAACCUCCUCCUCUGCCUUUUCUGUUUCCAGUUCCGGUUUGCUUUUUCUUCAUCCGGCUAAAGAUGGUUUUUGUUUUGGCAACUGGCAUGCACAUCAUGGAUAUCAAUUCAUGUUUACUUUUGUUCCACUUGUGAAAAUGGACGCCACGACUCAGGAGUGGAUUUCUUUUUCUUUUCGAUCCUGGCUAAGGGCAUCUCCAACGCCGACCCGCAAACGGACGUACUCCCUCCGUAAAGUAAUAUAAGAGCGUUUAGAAUACUAAAGUAAUGAUCUAAACGCUCUUAUAUUAGUUUACAGAGGGAGUAGUAUUUAUUCAAAAAUUGGUCCGGACACGGAUACGGAAGCCGUCCAUCCAACCUUAUACCUCAAAUAUCCAUCCGCUUUCACCCCCGCCAAAUAUAUUAGUCACAAUUUACAUGGAUAAAAGCACUUGAAAAGGAAAAAAAAAGUGUAAACACAUGCAUGCAAGCUUAACCUUCCGCCAACAACAUAUCAAUGUUUAAACCUUCCGCCAACUAAGUACAUGCUAAACCUUCUGCCUCCGCCGAACAACAUGCUAUGGUCACUUAAAGCAACAUGCAUCAGCCAAAUAGCAGGGCGGCCUUUCGCCAUCCGGAUAGGGAGGAGAAGGUACGUGGUGGUUUGACUCGCGCAAAGCCCUUCUUUGUUUUGUCUUGGGUUUGCGGAAAAACAGAUGUCCCUACGCGUCGGCAUACCGAUACAUGACCGUGUUGGAUGGCAAACUGCGUCCGGACAAAGCAGUUCGGACGCUUGCGGGAGGUGCCCUUCUUUGUUUUGUCUUGGGUUUGCGGGAAAACAGAUGUCCAUACGCGUCGGCAUACCGAUACAUGACCGUGUUGGAUGGCAAACUGCGUUUGGACAAAGCGGCUCGGACGCUUGCGGGAGGUGCCCUUCUUUGUUUUGUCUUGGGUUUGCGGGAAAACAUAUGUCCGUACGCGUCGGCAUACCGAUACAUGACCGUGUUGGAUGGCAAACUGCGUCCGGACAAAGCGGUUCGGACGCUUGCGGGAGGUUUGAGAGUCUGCUUUGGAUAUGCCCUAAUAAAUCUGGGACGCCCUUACCUGGCGAUCGAGAGCUAGGGGGUUUGCCUCCGGGAGCUCCUAUCCGCCGCUCGCUGCGGCAAACAGGCGCGGUUUCGCACAGCUGGUUGUCCAACUGGGCCGGCCCAUGAAUGUAACGACUGACAGCAUGAUGUAGCUAAACAAAAUGUCGUUGUGGCGGGAAUUCGAAACCAAGACCUCAGGCUAUACCUGACGUCGUUCUACCAGUUGAACUAGCAUUCUUCACUGAAUAUAUUGCAGUGCCAAGCUUAAAGAACCAGCACAGAUCCACAUAAUAUCCUGAAUUUCAAAAUCAGUUUUUAUUGAAAAAAACGAACGGGUCUGUGAACACAAACAAAUUACGAAUUUGCGAAUAAAAUUUUAAAACUGAAAUAUUUUUUAAAAUAUGGAACAUUUUGUUUGAAACGGGAACAUUUUUUGAAAUUCCAAGACAAAAUUUGAAAACACGAACAUAUUUUGAAAAAUAUGAAACCAAUAACAUUUUUUGAAAUUGGUGAACAAAAAACUGAAACUGAACAAUUUCGAAACUCCUGAAAAAAUGAAAACGUGUACAUUUUUGAAAUUUCUGAACAAUUUUCAAAAACAGGAAUAUGUUUUCAACUGCCCAAACAGUUUUUGAAAAUUAUGAACAAAAAAUUGAAAUUAAAAAAUUUCGAACCUCCUGAAAAAAAGAAAAUGUGCACAUUUUUUAAAUUUGUGAACAAUUUUUGAAAAUGGGAACAUGUUUUGAACCACUCAAACAUUUUCUGAAAUUUGUGAACAAAAAUUUGAAACUGAACAAUUUUGAAACUAAAACAUGAAACUGUUUGCAUUUUUUGAAAUUUAUGAACAAUUUAUUUAAAAUGGGAACAUGUUUUGAACAACCCAAACAUUUUUCUGAAAUUUGUGAACAAAAAUUUGAGACUGAACAAUUUCGAAACUCCUGAAGAAAGGAAAAUAUGCACAUUUUCUGAAAUUUGCAAACAAUUUUUCUAAAACAGGAACAUUUUUUGAAACUAGAAGAAUAUUUUAAAAAUGGAACAUUUUCCGAAUUUAUGACCAAAAUUUGAGCUCACGAUUCGUUUUUUAAAAAAUGAACAUUUUUUUUUUGUUUUUGGAACACUUUUCAAAAUAUGAAAAAAGUGAAGAAAGAAAAAAGUAACUCGAAACAGGAAAGAUAAACAAAAAAGAAACAGAAAAAAGGUAAUAGAAAGAAGAAAAAGAAACAUAAAAAUGUCAAAAAGAAAAAGGAAAAAAACAAAACGGAAAUUAAAAGGAAAACCGGUAAAAGAAAAUAAACCGGUUCAGGGAACAUUCUGGAAGGUUCCCAAAACCGGAUGAUAGUACAGGAACUGCGUAUGCAUAAUGGGCCGGCCCAUCGCCUCGCUCGGUCUCUUCGCCUGUGCGAAGAGAAAUCCCUAUUUGCCGCACUUUGCGGCAAAUUGUCCCCGUUUUGCACAGGGGGAGGCGCACUAGCGAAUCGACUGGGCCGGCCCAUUUACACAGUUCGUUCGCUUCGCUUUGGAACUUUUUUUCUCCUGACUUUCAGGUUUAUUGUUUUUUGUUUUUCCAGUUUUUUUUUCUUCUUUCCUGUUUUCAUUUCCUCUUUUUGUUAGAAUUUAUUUGUUAAUUUUUUCGAAAAUUGAUUUGAAAUAUCAAAUAUUCAUCAGAAUUCAAAAUGUUGUCUCUCUUUUCUCGUUCGCAUUUUUGAAAAAUGUUUGGAAUUUCAGGAAAAAGACGUGAUUUCCGAAUUUUUUGUUUGAGAUUUUCAGAAAAUGCUCAAAAAAUUUAGAAAAUUCCUGUUUUCAAGAUUUUGUUCAUCAAUUCAAAAAUGUCCCCGUUCUCAAAAUGUGUUCACAAAUUCAAAAAUUUAGAUAGUGUUCGGGAAUUUCAAAACAUGUUCCCAGUUUUCAAAAUUGUUCACAAAUUCAAAAAAUUGCUCAUGUUUUCAAGAUUUGUUCACAAAUUCAAGAUGAAUUCCGGGAAUUAAAAAAGUUCACCUUUCAAUUUUGUUCAUUAAUUUAAAUAAUGUUCAGGAAUUUUACUUUCCAAAUUGUUCACAAAAUAAUCAUGUUUACAAGAUAUGUUCGUGAAUUCAAAAAAUUAUCAGGGAAUUUCAAGAAAUAUUCGCCUUUGAAUAUUUGUUCACAAAUUUCAAAGAAAAUUCAGGAAUUUCACUUUCCAAAUUGUUCAAAAAAAAAACAAUCAUGUUUCCAAAAUGUGUUUGUGAAGUAAAAAAUUGUUCAGGGAAUUUCAAAAACUGUUCUCCUUUGAAUUUUUGUUCACAAAUUUCAAAAAAUGUUGGGAAUUUGACUUUCCAAAUUGUUCACCAAAAGAAUCAUGUUUUUAAAAUGUGUUCGUGAAUACAAAAAUUGUUCAGGGAAUUUCAAAAAAUGUUAGUCUUUGAAUUUUUUUUCGCAAAUUUCAAAAAAUAUUCGGGAAUUUCACUUUCCAAAUUGUUCACAAAGAAAAAUCAUGUGUUUCAAAAUGUGCUCCUAAAUUCAAAAAUUGUUCAGGGAAUUUCAAUAAAUGUUCACAUUUCAAUUAUUGUUCACAAAUUUGAAAAAAUGUUCGGGAAUUUCACUCUCCAAAUUGUUCACAAAAAACAAUCAUGUUUUCAAAAUAUGUUCGAGAAUACAAAAAAUGUUCUUGGAAUUUCAAAAAAAUGUUCGUCUUUGAUUUUUUGUUCACAAAUUUCAAAAAAUGUUCAGGAAUUUCACUUUCCAAAUUGUUGACAAAGAAAAAUCAUGUUUUCAAAAUGUGUUCGUGAAUUCAAAAAUUGUUCAGGGAAUUUCAAUAAAUGUUCACCGUUCAAUUAUUGUUCACAAAUUUCAAAAAAUGUUCUGGAAUUUCACUCUCCAAAUUGUUCACAAAAAACAAUCAUGUUUUCAAAAUGUGUUCGAGAAUACAAAAAUUGUUCAGGGAAUUUCAAAAUAUGUUCUCCUUUGAAUUUUUGUUCACGAAUUUCAAAAAAUGUUCGGGAAUUUCACUUUCCAAAUUGUUCACCAAACGAAUCAUGUUUUCAAAAUGUGUUUGUGAAUACAAAAAUUGUUCAGAGAAUUUCAAAAAAUGUGCGUCUUUGAAUUUUUAUUCACAAAUUUAAAAAAAUAUUCGAGAAUUUCACUUUCCAAAUUGUUCACAAAGGAAAACCAUGUUUUCAAAAUGGGUUCAUGAAAUCAAAAAUUGUUUAGGAAAUUUCAAUAAAUGUUCGCCUUUCAAUUAUUGGUCACAAAUUUCAAAAAAUGUUCGGGAAUUUCUCUCUUCAAAUUGUUCACAAAAAAAAAA